rnacentral:rRNA from 1 species
UACGUAGGGGGCAAGCGUUGUCCGGAUUUACUGGGCGUAAAGAGCGUGUAGGCGGCCACGCAGGUCCGUUGUGAAAACUGGAGGCUCAACUUCCAGCCGUCGACGGAAACCGUGUGGCUAGAGUCCGGAAGAGGAGAGUGGAAUUCCUGGUGUAGCGGUGAAAUGCGCAGAUAUCAGGAAGAACACCCGUGGCGAAGGCGGCUCUCUGGGACGGUACUGACGCUGAGACGCGAAAGCGUGGGGAGCGAACAGG